rnacentral:rRNA from 1 species
UCAGGCCUAACACAUGCAAGUCGAACGGCAGCACGGGAGCAAUCCUGGUGGCGAGUGGCGAACGGGUGAGUAAUACAUCGGAACGUGCCCAGUCGUGGGGGAUAACUACUCGAAAGAGUGGCUAAUACCGCAUACGACCUGAGGGUGAAAGCGGGGGACCGCAAGGCCUCGCGCGAUUGGAGCGGCCGAUGUCAGAUUAGCUAGUUGGUGGGGUAAAGGCCCACCAAGGCGACGAUCUGUAGCUGGUCUGAGAGGACGACCAGCCACACUGGGACUGAGACACGGCCCAGACUCCUACGGGAGGCAGCAGUGGGGAAUUUUGGACAAUGGGGGCAACCCUGAUCCAGCCAUGCCGCGUGCGGGAAGAAGGCCUUCGGGUUGUAAACCGAUUGGUCAGGGAAGAAACGCGCUGAGCUAAUA